rnacentral:rRNA from 1 species
AGCGCAGGCGGGAAGGCAAGUUGGAAGUGAAAUCCAUGGGCUCAACCCAUGAACUGCUUUCAAAACUGUUUUUCUUGAGUAGUGCAGAGGUAGGCGGAAUUCCCGGUGUAGCGGUGGAAUGCGUAGAUAUCGGGAGGAACACCAGUGGCGAAGGCGACCUACUGGGCACCAACUGACGCUGAGGCUCGAAAGCAUGGGUAGCAAACA